UACGUAGGGGGCAAGCGUUGUCCGGAUUUAUUGGGCGUAAAGAGCGUGUAGGCGGCUUUACAGGUCCGUUGUGAAAACUCGAGGCUCAACCUCGAGACGCCGGUGGAAACCGUAAAGCUAGAGUCCGGAAGAGGAGACUGGAAUUCCUGGUGUAGCGGUGGAAUGCGCAGAUAUCAGGAGGAACACCGGUGGCGAAGGCGGGUCUCUGGGCAGUAACUGACGCUGAGGCACGAAAGCGUGGGGAUCAAACAGG
rnacentral:rRNA from 1 species